rnacentral:rRNA from 1 species
UCAAAUUUCUGGGAGGAUUGACAGAUUGAGAGCUCUUUCUUGGUUCGGUGGAUGGUAGUGCAUGUCCGUUCUUAGUUGGUGGAGCGAUUUGUCUGGUUAAUUCCGAUAACGAACGAGACUCUAGCCUAUUAAAUAGGUGCGUGGUUUUCUCCACCUUGAACCCGUCUUAGAGAGACAAGCGGCUCCUAGCGGCAGAGCAAUAACAGGUCUGUGAUGCCCUUAGAUGU